rnacentral:rRNA from 1 species
AUGAAGAUUGUCUCCCGGAUCUUGACCACACGACUGCAAAAGUUUAUUGAGCUCCGGGUGUCCUUUGAACAGUCUGGUUUUAUUGCUGGGAGAUGCAUCGCAGAUAACUUCCUGUAUGCUGCUGAUUUGAUACAGAGCUGCCGUCUCCGCAAGACACCCACGAUCGCCUUGAAGUUGGAUUUCAAGAAGGCCUUUGAUUCAGUUAGUUGGGAAGCGCUGGAUCUGAUUAUGCAGGCACGUGGUUUUGGUGACCGUUGGCGCUCUUGGGUCCGAAAUAUCCUCUGCACCGGUAAGACUGCAGUGUUGCUGAACGGAGUGCCCGGUAGAUGGAUUCAGUGUAAAAAGGGGUUGCGCCAAGGGGACUCAUUGUCACCUUACCUCUUCUUGAUCGUUGCGGACCUUCUCCACAAGUUGAUU